rnacentral:rRNA from 1 species
UACGUAGGGUGCGAGCGUUGUCCGGAAUUAUUGGGCGUAAAGAGCUCGUAGGCGGCUUGUCGCGUCGGAUGUGAAAGCCCGGGGCUUAACUCCGGGUCUGCAUUCGAUACGGGCAGGCUAGAGUUCGGUAGGGGAGAUCGGAAUUCCUGGUGUAGCGGUGAAAUGCGCAGAUAUCAGGAGGAACACUGGUGGCGAAGGCGGAUCUCUGGGCCGAUACUGACGCUGAGGAGCGAAAGCGUGGGGAGCGAACAGG